GUGUCAGCAGCCGCGGUAAUACGUAGGGUGCGAGCGUUAAUCGGAAUUACUGGGCGUAAAGCGUGCGUAGGCGGUUUGCCGUGUCCUGUGUGAAAGCCCCGGGCUCAACCUGGGAAUUGCAUGGGAAACUGGCAGGCUUGAGUGUGGCAGAGGAGGGUGGAAUUCCGCGUGUAGCAGUGAAAUGCGUAGAGAUGCGGAGGAACACCGAUGGCGAAGGCAGCCCUCUGGGCCAACACUGACGCUCAGGCACGAAAGCGUGGGGAGCAAACAGGAUUAGAAACCCGCGUAGUCC
rnacentral:rRNA from 1 species